rnacentral:lncRNA from 1 species
UAAAACUAAUAUAAUUAUUAAAUGGCUAAAUUACAGAAAAUCUUCCUGUCAAAAUCUAAUUUUUCACUUUCCUCCCCUGUCAUUUAAAAACCUACACUUUGCCCCCUUGUAAAAUGAAAAAUGUUCACAGGGGGUUACGGUGUGAACUGUGAUGAUAAAAUGACCAUUUUGCCCUUCACCAUUUUGCCCCUCACCAUGUUCACAGGAGAGAAGGCUGAGGGUAUUUUUGGCAUA